GACGAACGCUGGCGGCGUGCUUAACACAUGCAAGUCGAACGGAAAGACCCGGCGUUUGUUGGUUGCUCGAUUGGCGAACAGGUGAGUGACACGUGAGUAACCUGCCCUUGACUGUGGGAUAACUUCAGGGAACUGGGGCUAAUACCGUGUAUAAUCUCCUGCUGCGUGGGGGUGGUUGGAAAGUUUCGGCUGUUGGGGAUGGACUCGCGGCUUAUGAGCUUGUUGGUGUGGUAGUUGCUUACCAGGGCUUUGACGGGUAGCCGGCAUGAGAGGGUGACCGGCCACCUUGGGACUGCGGUACGGACCAGAAUGCUACGGGAGGCAGUAGUGGGGAAUAUUGCACAAUGGGCGGACGCCUGAUGCAGAAACGUUGCGUGCGGGAUGCCGGCUUUCGGGUUGUAAACAGAUUUGGACUGUGCCGAAGAGUUAGUGACGGUAAUGGGUAAAGAAGCCACGGCUAACUACGUG
rnacentral:rRNA from 1 species